rnacentral:rRNA from 1 species
UUUACACUUUAUGCUUCCGGCUCGUAUGUUGUGUGGAAUUGUGAGCGGAUAACAAUUUCACACAGGAAACAGCUAUGACCAUGAUUACGCCAAGCUUGGUACCGAGCUCGGAUCCACUAGUAACGGCCGCCAGUGUGCUGGAAUUCGCCCUUGUCGGGAGUUAGGAAAUGUAGGAAUGCUAAUAGUAUUUCUACUUGACUAAGGCUCCGGAGGAAGCCACGGCUAACCCUGUGCCAGCAGCCGCGGUAAUACAGAGGCGGCAAGCGUUGAUCGGAAUUAUUGGGCGUAAAGAGCAUGUAGGCGGCUAUGUAAGUCGGUUGUGAAAGCCUUCCGCUUAACGGAAGAAUGGCGGUCGAAACUGCAUGGCUUGAGUGCGGGAGGG